rnacentral:rRNA from 1 species
GAUCAUGGCUCAGGAUGAACGCUGGCGGCGUGCUUAACACAUGCAAGUCGAACGAAGCACUUUAUUUGAUUUCCUUCGGGACUGAUUAUUUUGUUGACUGAGUGGCGGACGGGUGAGUAACGCGUGGGUAACCUGCCUUGUACAGGGGGAUAACAGUUGGAAACGGCUGCUAAUACCGCAUAAGCGCACGGCAUCGCAUGAUGCAGUGUGAAAAACUACCGGUGGUAUAAGAUGGACCCGCG